AGAAUGAACGUUGGCGGCGUGGAUUAGGCAUGCAAGUCGCACGGGCCGCAAGGCCAGUGGCGCAAGGGUGAGUAAGGCGACGGCAACCAACCCCGUGAUUGGGUAUAGCCGCGGGAAACCGCGGGUAAUCCCCAGCGACGUCCAAAAGAGGCAUCUCUUCUGGACCAAAGUUCCGGCGUCGCGGGACGGGCCGUCGUGCUAUUAGCUUGUUGGCGGGGUAACGGCCCACCAAGGC
rnacentral:rRNA from 1 species